GACGAACGCUGGCGGCGUGCUUAACACAUGCAAGUCGAACGAAGAGCGAUGGAAGCUUGCUUCUAUCAAUCUUAGUGGCGAACGGGUGAGUAACGCGUAAUCAACCUGCCCUUCAGAGGGGGACAACAGUUGGAAACGACUGCUAAUACCGCAUACGAUCUAAUCUCGGCAUCGAGGAUAGAUGAAAGGUGGCCUCUACAUGUAAGCUAUCACUGAAGGAGGGGAUUGCGUCUGAUUAGCUAGUUGGAGGGGUAACGGCCCACCAAGGCGAUGAUCAGUAGCCGGUCUGAGAGGAUGAACGGCCACAUUGGGACUGAGACACGGCCCAGACUCCUACGGGAGGCAGCAGUGGGGAAUCUUCCGCAAUGGACGAAAGUCUGACGAAGCAACGCCGCGUGAGUGAUGACGGCCUUCGGGUUGUAAAGCUCUGUUAAUCGGGACGAAAGGCCUUCUUGCGAGUAGUGAGAAGGAUUGACGGUACCGGAAGAGAAAGCCACGGCUAACUACGUG
rnacentral:rRNA from 1 species